rnacentral:rRNA from 1 species
AGUGAACGCUGGCGGUAGGCCUAACACAUGCGAGUCGAACGGCAGCACAGUAAGAGCUUGCUCUUACGGGUGGCGAGUGGCGGACGGGUGAGGAAUACAUCGGAAUCUACUUUUUCGUGGGGGAUAACGUAGGGAAACUUACGCUAAUACCGCAUACGACCUACGGGUGAAAGCAGGGGAUCUUCGGACCUUGCGCGAUUGAAUGAGCCGAUGUCGGAUUAGCUAGUUGGCGGGGUAAAGGCCCACCAAGGCGACGAUCCGUAGCUGGUCUGAGAGGAUGAUCAGCCACACUGGAACUGAGACACGGUCCAGACUCCUACGAGAGGCAGCAGUGGGGAAUAUUGGACAAUGGGCGCAAGCCUGAUCCAGCCAUACCGCGUGGGUGAAGAAGGCCUUCGGGUUGUAAAGCCCUUUUGUUGGGAAAGAAAAGCAGCAGGUUAAGACCCCGCUGUUCGGACGGUACCCAAAGAAUAGCACCGGCUAACUUCGUG